GAUGAACGCUGGCGGCGUGCCUAACACAUGCAAGUCGAGCGAACGGACGAGAAGCUUGCUUCUCUGAUGUUAGCGGCGGACGGGUGAGUAACACGUGGAUAACCUACCUAUAAGACUGGGAUAACUUCGGGAAACCGGAGCUAAUACCGGAUAAUAUUUUGAACCGCAUGGUUCAAAAGUGAAAGACGGUCUUGCUGUCACUUAUAGAUGGAUCCGCGCUGCAUUAGCUAGUUGGUAAGGUAACGGCUUACCAAGGCAACGAUGCAUAGCCGACCUGAGAGGGUGAUUGGCCAGACUGGAACUGAGACACGGUCCAGACUCCUACGGGAGGCAGCAGUAGGGAAUCUUCCGCAAUGGGCGAAAGCCUGACGGAGCAACGCCGCGUGAGUGAUGAAGGUCUUCGGAUCGUAAAACUCUGUUAUUAGGGAAGAACAUAUGUGUAAGUAACUGUGCACAUCUUGACGGUACCUAAUCAGAAAGCCACGGCUAACUACGUG
rnacentral:rRNA from 1 species